CCUACGGGUGGCAGCAGUGAGGAAUAUUGGUCAAUGGACGAGAGUCUGAACCAACCAAGCAGCGUGCAGGAAGACGGCUCUAUGAGUUGUAAACUGCUUUUGUACGAGGGUAAACGCCGAUACUCGUAUCUGUCUGAAAGUAUCGUAAGAAUAAGGAUCGGCUAACUCCGUGCCAGCAGCCGCGGUAAUACGGGGGAUGCAAGCGUUAUCCGGAUUUAUUGGGUUUAAAGGGUGCGUAGGCUGUGCGGUAAGUCAGCGGUGAAAUGCCCCGGCUCAACGGGGGGAAGUGCCCUUGAUACUGCCUGGCUUGAAUGCGGAUGCCGUAGGCGGAAUGUGUGGUGUAGCGGUGAAAUGCAUAGAUAUCACGAAGAACUCCGAUUGCGAAGGCAGCUUACUAAGCUGCCACUGACAUUGAUGCUCGAAAGUGUGGGUAUCAAACAGGAUUAGAUACCCUUGUAGUC
rnacentral:rRNA from 1 species